CUGUUUUCCGGGCCAAUCCGGACUUUCUUCGAUUUCGGUUUUACGUGCGUGCGUGCGUGCGUUACGUACGUAAUUCCACAUCGCGCCGGCGCAACGAGCUUUUGACAGUGGUGCAGUUGCCUACGUUCCGGCUUUUCGUUGUCGCGAAUAAUUUCGUAUGGCAUACGUGAAUUGCAAAAACGACAACCUUCGUUACCGCCGCCGCAGCUCGACAGCAGCAUAUCUAGCGAAACGCGAGAAGAAGCAUCAGUAAACGUGAAACAUGAUGGCUUCGGAACAGUCCUUCCGUCCGUCGUCGUCGUCGUCGUCUUCAUCGCCCCUUUAGAGGAAAGUCCACGGUGGUUACCGGAGGUUCUUCUUUGCUCGAUGUAUCAAACUGUUUAACUCCACUCGCGAGAUUUGAUGUUGUAAAUCUCGUGUUAUAGAAUUCCAAACAAAUACAAAAAGUGAAAGAACGAAAAUGUGAGAUAGCGAAAAACGGGGCGAAAGGACAUUUUCCGGUGGAAAAAAGACUCUUCCACCGAUCUGUCAACGAUCAUCGCUAAAUAAUUAUCGUAUCGUCAACCUGUCAAUU